GGAACAUAUAUGAUGAGGGCACCUCCCUACCUUCCUAUUCCAGUUAGGAGUUACAAGGUCUGAAGAGAGGGGAAGAACUCGAUUAGUUGUACCAUAGUCUCGGUGGGCAGAGGCCGCUCCGUCGCCGCCGGCACCUUGCCGCAACUCACCCAAGCCUCCGCCGCCUUCAACCACCACCACGACCACCAGUUGCCGCGACACUUCCUCCCGCUGGACCCGGGCACUCCGCUGAGUCACGUCACCGCCUUGACUCGUCUCACGACGUCGCCACUUCCUCCACGACCCUCCUUGUUCCGCCGCUCCUCGUCACCAGACUAAAUGGUGCCCACUCAACCGACAAACACACCAACGCACACCUCCAACGGGUCCGACCACCACACUAAUCCCUCCUCUUUCCUCGGCUGCCGAUCGAUCACGCCGCACGUCUCCGAACUUAGACUCUUCAUCUUCACGUCGCACAUCUCCUCUACCGACUUUAGUCACUACGGGGUCGUCAAUGAAGGCCACUCGAACGCCGACAUAACGCUCGCUACCUACUCUUUAUGUCCCGAGACAAACUACGUUAGUCGUUCGUUCGAUCGUCGAGGUUUAGUCUCCGACUUUAUUUCCUCCUCUAUGUAGGGAAUGUCUACGGUGUACACUUCAAUCUCCCAGGACUCUUGAUACAUUCGACCCGACUCGUACGACUUUGGUAGGACCAAAGUUCCUUUAACCUUCCUAUGUAGGAACCCUGUCAUCUCUUUGGACUCCUUCUUCCAAGUUUUCUUCCGGUUUUUACCUCUCGUUGGUUACGAAACCAGUCCCGUACCGAAGACUCAAGCUACAGAAGAGUCUAACGUUUCGUCCAACUCUCUUAGUUUCUACGAAGUCUCUAAACCUCCGAGGACUUUCCGUGUAUAAGUCCUCACCCUUUACUCUACAAUCGUACGUUUUAAGUUUUCCUCAACGUCCUCGACUCGGUUCCACUCUCUUGUCACCACCUUAUACACAGACUUGAAUUUUCCAACACCUCACUGGACCUGAUGAUACUAGGUCAACUUUACCUCACACCCUUUACAUAACUCUUCGUAUCAUUCACCUGACUCUCCUCUGCACAAUCUCUGAAGGAUUUACCGGAGGUAGGGUCCAAACUUUUAUCCUCUCGUCGAGAUAUACCGUCACCCUUCGAUGGUUCAGAACUCGUUCGUUAAAGACGUUAUCGCUCACUUCUUUGAGCCGAUUCCAACCUCCGUCGUCCUAGCCGAAGUGUCCCUCAUUGCGUUUCCGCGAGUCGAAAGAACCGACGUCCUCCACCUUCUAUGGUUUCUUGUCCUCGUCCAUUGCCACUUUCUUUUACAAAACUUACACCUAGUGGUCCUGUAGAACACCGUCCGACGGGAUUUAACUACCCUCCUCCAGCACCAUCUCCGGUCCUGACCGCUCCAUCUCGGUCUCCGUCUAAUAAACUACGUACACCACCGGCACCCUCUCCGUACAACAAAGGGCCUUCUCGUUUGUGAAGUCGACGGCUCCUUCACAGAGUCUUUAACUCGCAACUCUAUUGGGGGCUACUCGAUCUCUUCACCGCAGUUAAGUUCUUGGAUUUAGAACCACAACUUGUCGGAGUCCUCAGUGUACGUAGUAGGAGAAGUAGUCGUUUAAAAAGACCUUGAACCUUGACCUUUUCUCUAACCCUAUCCCUCGUACGCACUACCCAAUAUAAUGAACCUAUCAUUAUAUAAAGGACGUCACCGACGAUGUCACAGAGGGAGCAGUGAUCUUCUUAAGGAUGAAGUUGUAGCAGCCAACCCUGUAGAAAGAAAACGAUAAAACCCAGUCUAAAUGGGAUUAGAGAUAACAUUUUAAUCAUUUCUUGUUGAUUACACACUACGGACAGUCAUACCUUUCGUUCAAUCCUCGAGAAUAAAUAGUAGACUAUUAUCUUCACUACACGGAAACGUUUGAUAUGUAAGUCUACACACCCCGGGAUCGUUUCACUGUAGAUAAUUACCAAUAGCGAUGAAACAGUGAAAGUAACUGACGACGUGAUCUCGAUGGACCCAAAUACACAAUGCGGUAUUUUCACUUUGUAAACUUACGAAAUCUCUAAAGGUAUUAGACCAAUCCUGAGUUAUAUCACGAACACACUUUCACAAUGCUUGACUAUUACCGUGUCUUAUACACUUACCCCUGAAAUCUACUUAUAAACAGUUUGAAACCUUAAUAGGUAGUUUGAUGAACGGGUCCAUGAAGUCUUGUCUUACCAAACCGUCUUUCCUUCUUGUCCGUAUAAAAUCUUUAACGUUCCACGUAUUACAAACGGUACUUACAAGGUUUCAUGAACACCUCACUUCGUCACUACUGACGUCGAAUAAACUACUUAUCCUACGGAAGAGCCCACGAACCGAUGUUCUGUGGUUAUCUCACAGAGUGACCCUCUUGAUGUAUACAUCAAGGUGGUUUCCACAAGCCCACAUGUACAAAACAUUUCCUGAUAUCCGGAAGCCAACCCUUCGAUCUAGGUUCUCGUCAUUUCACAUAUAAACACCCCAUAAGACCAUUUGUCUUCCCGAUAUUUACAACCACGGGUAGGCUCUUCUCUUACAAACACUCAUACCUACACCACAAAGCACUUGUACUUGGUAAAAUACCCCCUAGUCAGCUGAAUAGACUACAUAAAGGGCUAAGCAAAUGACUACUGGAGAAUCUACGUCUGAUACUCUGUCCCACUCUAUUUCUUCACCUCUUGUAGCUACGAUGUAGUGUUUUCUACUAAUAACCUCACUAUGGACGACUUCCUUCCCUUGUUCUAUGUGGUUUACUCCAUGUUGUUACCGCUUUUGGUUUGCUUCUUUCCCUUACGGUUCACAUAUGUUCUUCCGCCGUUAGUUUUCUCUUUGUUUACGUCCCCCUCCUUCAUUGAAGAAACCUCGGAGUGGUACUUCGGAUACUUGGUCUUUCUUGUGGUAGGUCUCACCUCGUCGGACUACGCUUACUGAGUUGUGGUCUGGGUGGUAAUGGUAGAGUCCGAGGUGUCCAUUGAGGCAGCACACUACUAUUACGAGAAUGUAACCUACUAGAUCUAUAUGGGUAACGGGUGGCUUUUGUUGGAGCUAAUUGACGACCCUUUAACGGUAGUUCUUACAGUGGGAUGUUACAGAGGUUAAUACAAAGUAUAAGGAGACACCCGGGAGUUAUGUUAAGUAAAUAUCGACGAGAUCUAAGCUACCGUGGUGAUGGUGUACUGACCGUCCUCCGUCAUUCCCUGGGUUCCACCUCUCGUCGUUACCAACUUCUUUACUGACGUGAGCUAUUCUUAUUAUGAACCCUUGAGAGAUAUGAAGGACGUCCAUUCUUUCAACACCCAACAUUCACCCACAAGUGGUAUUUCGUUUGUGGACUCCCGUUUUAUCUCUCUAUAUUUCGGUCUGAUCACCGUUUUCCCAUAUCAGUUUGUAUGCCUCACCUAAUGCUACUCUGAAAACGGGGUCACCGAUUCUACUUAUGAUAAUCUUGGGACUAGAGUCAUCGUCGCUUAAUAUUCACCUUAGAAAAAGUCUACCUACAAUUCUUACGAAAAGAUGUACCACUGAACGUUCUCCUUCAUAUAUAUCUUUAGGGUGUCCCCAAAUUAUCAUUCCUCUGUCUCCCAUUCCACACGUCUGAUUUUUUUAGUAAUAUACCUGAGUUCGUUAGUGGUUCCCGGACCAAACCCUUCAAAACGUUCCUCUAGGCGCGUUAACCGAUAGUCGUUUCGUUACGACUAGUAUGUGACAAAAAGUCCUCAUUAGUACCGUUUGAAUGUUAAGAACACCAAAUACAACUACUGUAACAAUAAUGUCCAUUACUACUACUCCCCUAUUCUUCCAACUUUUUUUACGAUCGUUUUCGUAAACUUCAUUUUCUAGAACCCGUAGAUUUAAUAAAAGAUCCUUAACUUCAACGUAUAAGUAGUGUUCCAUAUAUAGAGAGUGUCGCCUUUACACAAGAACUAAAUGAACAACUCUGACCUUACGAUCUGACAUUUGGACGGAGAUGUGGUUAACUCCGUUUGGUAGCUUAAUUCCGUCUAUACCCACUAGGACAACUAUUUCCAGUCAUAGUUGCCGACCAUCCCUCUGAUUAGAUAAACAGGGUAUGAUCUGGUCUAUAACGUAUACGGCACUCAUAACACUCGUCUAUAUACGUACUGGGUUCUAGAUGUGUAAAUUUACGACGUAUAUCUUAGAACUCUAUGGAUUUCCCUACGGGACCCUUUCCUUAAGAUAAGAGUUUAAGACCUGUAGAGUCAUAUCUCACAAUGUGUCUACGACUGACCCGACCCACAGAUCUACUAUCUUCCAGGUGAAGACCGAUGACGUAGAAACAACCUCCUUUAAACCAAUCGACCUCCUCGUUUUUUGUUUCACAUCACCGGUCCAGAUGACGACUUCGUCUCAAUGCCAGGUACCAGAGACCUUAUACACUUAAUUAUACCGAUGCGAAUGAUGAAUGACUUGAUGUUAACAUGUUUCCCCCGGGAGAAGCCUAGAUGACACUAUUAGUUCGGUGUUAUUUAUAUCAUUUGUUAGGUUAGGUCGUACUAUCCUGCUUUGUAUAACUUUAUCUAUCCGUAAAGUAGUUUCUCUUCGAUCUACUCCCUUGAGAAGUUCAAUCGAAACAGUUGAGUCCACUAGUCGAACGACUACAUAAUUGGUUUCCAUAAUCACAACAUUUAAUAUACUUUAAUACAUUGUUCUACCCCGAGUAUCUGUAUAAACGGGGUAGAACUCCCCCUCACAACUCUCCUGGAUGAUCACUGUACUUGUUCUUAUCUCCCUGCUUUUACAUUUUGAGUGGAACAUAUAUGAUGAGGGCACCUCCCUACCUUCCUAUUCCAGUUAGGAGUUACAAGGUCUGAAGAGAGGGGAAGAACUCGAUUAGUUGUUACUCACCGAAACGGGAAACAACAUAGCCAAAAGCGGACCAAAAGUGAUUAAUUGUCCCGUUGAGAAGAAUUAUUUACCCUCCGUUUUGAAGCGGAGACAACCCCCUCUUUUUUUUUAGCAUUCCGACAGACCGUAACACCACCCAAAAGUCUUCGUGUAUAGUCAACGAUGAAACCUAAAUCUGUCAACAACUGUCAGUCAUGGGGGUGUUUUGUUGAUUUGUUUACGUUUUCUUUUCUCCUUUGUUUACGUUUAACCGUAAUCUGAUACGCCGGAAAAUAAACUUAUUAGGUCAACCAGACAAUCAAAUAUUACACAUGAGAAUUGUAUAAGUUAUACCAGCAAAAGAAAAGGGUUGUUAGAUUCCUUUACUUCGAGUUUAAAACCCACGCGUCAGUGAAACAAGACAAAUCAACGAAGUUUCAAACAGUUCUAGUUCGCCGCCUUCCCGGAUACUUCCGUGAUCCGCACGGUACACUCAAAACAGUUGAACAUCCAGUGUUUUAAUGUGUCUACCUACCAAGUCUUGAAGUCUAACGAAAAAACCAUCAUCCUUUACUCGACCCUAACAAGAAUUUUACAUAGUGGGUGCUAGUGGUUCUAGUCAAGAUGAUUAGUACAUAUGUUUUAUCUCGUUGAAACUACUAACGUCGUAGUUUCCUUAACUACUAUAUUCAAUCGAGUACUUAACCGUCCAUAAAAGCAAGAGGCGAUACAACUUUCAGGUCGUUGAAGUAUACAUCACAACUAAUAUCACAGUAACCUUAGUUUACGAAGUCUUCUAAAUUUCUCAAAAUAAGGUCUUUUUUCUCCUCGUUCGUAUAGAUCUCGAGAGAAGAAGUCAUGAGGGAGGCAGGGUAUUAUAUUCUCGCCAAAAACUAUGAUGUGAUCACAUUUUUGCGAGAAUAUAAUACUCUGCCUCCCUCAUAUAUUGUUUGGUGGAUAAAAAUUCGAAAGGCGUCAGGACACGUGUCGUAACGUGACCAUUUGUGGUACUUCUGGGACAUCUACACAACUACAUCGUUAAGGAUCCUUCCAUUAACAAACAAGAGAAACUACACAGAACUGUCGUAGGAAACGAAAAUUACCUUUAAAUCAACCAAUAUUUUCUUCCAGGAGAAAGUGAUCUAAACAAAGGGUCCGUAGAGUACACGUACUUACUUUCUAAUUUUAAACAAUGGUCGUGACAGAAAAUUAAAAGACAAACAACGUAUCAAAAAAAAACAUGACAUCAUGAUGAACUAAACCUUAAAUGUUACACCAAUCCACUCGAGAUAAAAAGCCAGAUUUGACAUAGCAGAUACAAAUAAUGACUCGAAGAACUAACAGGUCGAGAAACUUCCGUCUAAGUCAUUACCUUCCGUCUAUACGAUGACAAAUCAACUAUCCAAAACCUUUGAGGAGUGGAGUAUACGAACGACGAACCUGUGUAUAGAGUACCAAGACCUGUUGGACAACUAUGCUACGGGGAGGAAUGAGCCUCCGCGAACCGGUGGAGACCUGUCGGCAACGAGGGUUACCACACACCUGCACCAUAACUCAGGAACUGGAACAUCAGGAGGUGAGAGUGACCACGGUGAACACGUACCUUCCGUACGCUACUAGCCGCUCCGGUUGUUUGUGCCGCCUGUUCAGCCAGUUGUAGAAGAAACCAACAUACACCGAAAGUUACACUCACGGGAGACACCGACACACACAGGUGGAAAAACAAUGGUCGUUCUCCUCCCUUCAUUUGAAAGAACGACAACAGCUGAACAGCACCUUCAAGAAUGAAUUCGAACUUCGUAAACACUUCAGAUCUGGUACUUAAGACCACGUCAUGUUAACGUCCCCUUUCGACCGCACUCACACACGGAGGUAGCCAAAAGAAUCUGUCCCCCCACUUCCAUCAUUUCUUCUUCUCACUACAGUCAACUCAUAUAGCUCAGUUAACGUUCCCCUUGAACAUAUUACUGGGAGUACGGAAAGGUACCAAGUCGUUUCUUUUUUCCUUACAGUUGUGAAACUGCUUAUCUAACAUGAUCAUCAAUGACAUGAUCAAUUGAAAGUUUUCACGUAGUACAGGAUGAUUGUUGCGGUACCAAGUACCUUAGUAAUCCCUGUUACGAUCACGAGUGGCUCAGUAACUCCUGUUUUCAUAAAGAGAGGAACGUAUUCGACACUGUAGUAUAAGUCAUCGAAGUUAUAUUUGAACCUUCUUAAUACAUGCCUCAUUUAAAACAUUGUAACAUAAGAAUUCG
rnacentral:rRNA from 1 species